AACAAUACAACAUAUUAAAUUACCUAUUAUACUACUAUAACAUUUAGUAGAUCAUUGACAGUCAGCAUUUUUAAUUCGAGGAAAAGCAGUUUAAAAUAUUAGAAAAAUUAAAUGAAGAUGUUGAAGAUCAGCGAAAAAUAUUGAAAAAUGUAAUAGAAGACGUUAGAGAUAAGCGGUGGAUGAGUGUACUUACGGUACAUUUCGAUUGUGACGCUGGCACUAACGGGGGCAGACAAGUUGCUAUUGGAAGCUUGACAAGUGUACACGGCUCCCUG